AAAUCUGGGAAAACAACUGAAGGGGGAACCGAUCCACCAAUCUGUGGUGAAGAGGAGCCCAGCAUAAUCAAGGUUUUUGACUAUGAAAAUCAGGCAACAGAAGAAGGAAUUCCAUAUGGAGGUACUUUUUCAGGAGUGGAAACAAUCUUUCUGGCUGAUCCUCAGACAGAGACAUACGUCUCCCAAAUACAACCGUCUCCACGAGAAGAAGCAUCUUUUCCAAUUAUCCACUAAACAAUGUCUGUUUUGGAAAUGAAAAGAGCUUUAUGCAAGAUGAAUACCUGAAUCGAAUUUUAGCCGAUGAAA